rnacentral:rRNA from 1 species
GACGAACGCUGGCGGUGUGCUUAACACAUGCAAGUCGAGCGGAGCGGCGAACGGGUGAGUAACGCGUGAGUAACUUCCCCCCUCUCUGGGAUAACAGUUGGAAACGGCUGCUAAUCCCGGCAAGUGGGGGAUGACUCGCGUCCUAUCAGCUUGUUGGUGUGGUAGUGGCCUACCGAGGCGACGACGGGUAGCCGGCCUGAGAGGGGGACCGGCCACAUUGGGCGGAGGAUCGGCCCAAACAGCUACGGGAGGCAGCAGUGUGGCAUAUUGCCCAAUGGGGGAGACCCUAAUGCAGCAGUGCCGCUUGCGGGAUGACGGCGUUCGAGUUGUAGACCGCUUUCAGCCAUGACGCGGUAGUGGCAGAAGAAGCACCGGCUAACUACGUGCCAGCAGCCGCGGUAAUUC